CGUCAGGAUGAAACGCUAGCGGCAGGCUUACACAUGCAAGUCGAGGGGCAGCGAGAUCAGUGCUUGCACUGAUUGUCGGCGACCGGCGCACGGGUGCGUAACGCGUAUGCAACCUACCCAUUACAGGGGGAUAACACUGAGAAAUCGGUACUAAUACCCCAUAACAUCCAGGGAGGCAUCUUCUUGGGUUGAAAACUCCGGUGGUAAUGGAUGGGCAUGCGUUGUAUUAGUUAGUUGGUGGGGUAACGGCUCACCAAGACAACGAUACAUAGGGGGACUGAGAGGUUAACCCCCCACAUUGGUACUGAGACACGGACCAAACUCCUACGGGAGGCAGCAGUGAGGAAUAUUGGUCAAUGGACGCAAGUCUGAACCAGCCAUGCCGCGUGCAGGAAGACGGCUCUAUGAGUUGUAAACUGCUUUUGUACGAGGGUAAACUCGGAUACGUGUAUCCGUUUGAAAGUAUCGUACGAAUAAGGAUCGGCUAACUCCGUG
rnacentral:rRNA from 1 species